AUUGAACGCUGGCGGCAGGCCUAACACAUGCAAGUCGAGCGGCAGCGGGAAAGUAGCUUGCUACUUUUGCCGGCGAGCGGCGGACGGGUGAGUAAUGCCUGGGAAAUUGCCCAGUCGAGGGGGAUAACAGUUGGAAACGACUGCUAAUACCGCAUACGCCCUACGGGGGAAAGCAGGGGACCUUCGGGCCUUGCGCGAUUGGAUAUGCCCAGGGGGGAUUAGCUAGUUGGUGAGGUAAUGGCUCACCAAGGCGACGAUCCCUAGCUGGUCUGAGAGGAUGAUCAGCCACACUGGAACUGAGACACGGUCCAGACUCCUACGGGAGGCAGCAGUGGGGAAUAUUGCACAAUGGGGGAAACCCUGAUGCAGCCAUGCCGCGUGUGUGAAGAAGGCCUUCGGGUUGUAAAGCACUUUCAGCGAGGAGGAAAAGUUGAUGCCUAAUACGUAUCAACUGUGACGUUACUCGCAGAAGAAGCACCGGCUAACUCCGUGCCAGCCGCCGCCGUAA
rnacentral:rRNA from 1 species